AGGUGAAACUGCAGGAGUCCAUUGAAUAUGAAGAUUUAGCAAAGAAUAAUAGCAUUAAAACUAUUGCACUAAACUUAAAGAAGUCUGAUAGGUAUUAUCAUGGUCCAACUCCAAUUCAAUCACAGCAAUAUGCAACCAGUCAGGAUAUAAUUAAUUCUUUUCAUAGUAUUAGGCAAGAAAUGGAAGCAUAUGUACCCAAACUAACUCAGGUUCUUUCAAGUGGUGA